rnacentral:rRNA from 1 species
UACGUAGGGGGCAAGCGUUAUCCGGAUUUACUGGGUGUAAAGGGAGCGUAGACGGCAGUGCAAGUCAGAUGUGAAAAUUAUGGGCUCAACCCAUAACCUGCAUUUGAAACUGUAGUUCUUGAGUGAUGGAGAGGCAGGCGGAAUUCCGUGUGUAGCGGUGAAAUGCGUAGAUAUACGGAGGAACACCAGUGGCGAAGGCGGCCUGCUGGACAUUAACUGACGCUGAGGCGCGAAAGCGUGGGGAGCAAACAGG